GGGUGCGGAGCACGUGUGCAACCUGCCUUUAUCUGGGGGAUAGCCUUUCGAAAGGAAGAUUAAUACCCCAUAAUAUGUUGAAUGGCAUCAUUCGACAUUGAAAACUCCGGUGGAUAGAGAUGGGCACGCGCAAGAUUAGAUAGUUGGUGAGGUAACGGCUCACCAAGUCUACGAUCUUUAGGGGGCCUGAGAGGGUGAUCCCCCACACUGGUACUGAGACACGGACCAGACUCCUACGGGAGGCAGCAGUGAGGAAUAUUGGACAAUGGGUGAGAGCCUGAUCCAGCCGUCCCGCGUGAAGGACGACUGCCCUAUGGGUUGUAAACUUCUUUUGUAUAGGGAUAAACCUACCCUCGUGAGGGUAGCUGAAGGUACUAUACGAAUAAGCACCGGCUAACUCCGUGCCAGCAGCCGCGGUAAUACGGAGGGUGCAAGCGUUAUCCGGAUUUAUUGGGUUUAAAGGGUCCGUAGGCGGAUCUGUAAGUCAGUGGUGAAAUCUCACAGCUUAACUGUGAAACUGCCAUUGAUACUGCAGGUCUUGAGUGUUGUUGAAGUAGCUGGAAUAAGUAGUGUAGCGGUGAAAUGCAUAGAUAUUACUUA
rnacentral:rRNA from 1 species